GCCCGUGUAGUGUAGAUGGUUAUCACUGUGGAUUCAUACGGCUUCGACGCAUGCAAUACCCGCCAACCCGAGUUCGAGUCUCGGCACAGGCA